AAUGCAUUCCUAUCCCUGCAAAUAUAGUGAAUUGCAAAUGUAUUUCUAUAAAAUUCAACUUUUAUAUGUUGUUGUCCCUUCAAAAGUUCUAAUAUUUUUAUAUAUAUCCCUCUGAUUUGUUACCGUAAUAGAACUGUUUUAUAUUUUAAGUGAAAUGUCAAUUUUGCCAUCACAAAUUGUUGAGCCAGUUAGGCGUGAACAGCUGGCACGCCGGGUUCAUAUCAGUAAGACGGCUAAAAUGGUAGACCUAGAGUACACCGGAUGCACGCGAGCCGCGCUGGAUCCAGUUAGGCGUGAACAGCUGGCACGCCGGGUUCAUAUCAGUAAGACGGCUAAAAUGGUAGACCUAGAGUACACCGGAUGCACGCGAGCCGCGCUGGAUCGAGGAGUUGUAGCAACCGCAAGCAGUUACGAGCGGUUCUGAUCGGCUAAAGGUGGUCCUACAAUUCAGGAGAUAGUGGCUGAUCGUGCAAGAGGGAUAACUAACGCAAGGGCAAUUCUAUAAAUAGGCAUACGAUACCCUGAAAAGAGGUCUUCGCCCCUGCGCAUAAAAGAUCACAUUUAUUUUUCUGCAUCUUUCUUUUCUGCAUUUACCGCUUUGCAUUAGGAGUAGUUUCUCCCGUAAUCUAGCAUACUCGGAGUCUGUCUGCCCUACGGGCAUCACUCCCCUGUUCUCAUACUCGGAGUCUGUCUGCCCUACGAGCAUCACUCCCCUGUUCCUGUACUCUUUUCGCUUGCUAAUCAAUAGAAAGUCACGUUCGGCUAUUCAGGCCGACCAGAUUUUGUGUUGUGCUAGCCAUUCGGCUCAUCUCCCGGCUUAAUUUCCGAUUUUUCCAGCAUAUUCGGCUCAUCCAGCCCAACCGAAGAGUGAAAAGAGUUUUCGGACCCGGCUGAUUCGAUCCCUCAUCAGCCGAAUCGCUUGAUCCAGUCGAAGGGCGCAAACUUCGAGGGUCACUAUUCGCAGCCGUUCCUCACCCCGACGCACUUCCCGAGGAGGAUACUUGACCAGGUCAAGGGUCGGGACCUUGGAACCUCCAACACAAAUAUAUACCUCUAAAACCCACAAUAAUAUAAUAUAAGAAGAGCAAAAAUGUCAAGUUAUUUUAUAAAUUAAUCAGAGUUAAGCAUUUAAACUAUAGUUAAUUAAAGUUUUUUAACGGAUUCUAACAACAUGGACAUAUUUGAAAAUAUUAGAAUUUUUGCAGCGACGACAUAUGAAAACUGAACUUCGUAAAGGAUAUAUUUGCAAUUCGCUAUAUUUGCAGAGACAUAUAUGAAAUUAAUCCUUUUUUUUUUUAUAAACCUUAGUGAUCAAUUUUAUCAUAUUAGUUUUAUCAUAAUCCCUUUUUCUAAAACUAAAAUAUUAAUACAAAAAAUCUCCUAUAAGUACUUUUUUUUUUUUUUACUUUACCCCUGUCAUAAAAAAUCUAUAUUUUAUCCUCUUAAAAUUUAAGAUUGUAGCACUUAAUUCUUUAUUUUUAUAAUUUUGCCACUAUUUUAU
rnacentral:lncRNA from 1 species